rnacentral:rRNA from 1 species
AGUGAACGCUGGCGGUAGGCCUAACACAUGCAAGUCGAACGGCAGCACAGUAAGAGCUUGCUCUUACGGGUGGCGAGUGGCGGACGGGUGAGGAAUACAUCGGAAUCUACUUUUUCGUGGGGGAUAACGUAGGGAAACUUACGCUAAUACAGCAUACGACCUACGGGUGAAAGCAGGGGAUCUUCGGACCUUGCGCGAUUGAAUGAGCCGAUGUCGGAUUAGCUAGUUGGCGGGGUAAAGGCCCACCAAGGCGACGAUCCGUAGCUGGUCUGAGAGGAUGAUCAGCCACAUUGGAACUGAGACACGGACCAGACUCCUACGGUAGGCAGCAGUGGGGAAUAUUGGACAGUGGGCGCAAACCUUGUCCAGCCAUACCGCGUGUGUUACGAAGGCCUUCGGGUUGUAAAGCCCUUUUGUUGGGAAAGAACAGCAGCAGGUUAAUACCCCGCUGUUCUGACGGUACCCAAAGAAUAAGCACCGGCUAACUUCGUG